UACGGAGGGAGCUAGCGUUGUUCGGAAUUACUGGGCGUAAAGCGCGCGUAGGCGGCUUUGUAAGUUAGAGGUGAAAGCCCGGGGCUCAACCCCGGAAUUGCCUUUAAGACUGCAUCGCUUGAAUCCAGGAGAGGUGAGUGGAAUUCCGAGUGUAGAGGUGAAAUUCGUAGAUAUUCGGAAGAACACCAGUGGCGAAGGCGGCUCACUGGACUGGUAUUGACGCUGAUGUGCGAAAGCGUGGGGAGCAAACAGG
rnacentral:rRNA from 1 species